rnacentral:lncRNA from 1 species
UUCCCUUCCCCCAGGGUCAAUUAUGUUCUGAUAAAACCCCAGCAGGUUAGCCUCUAGUUAAACAGUUUCACCUGAGAGCAGACCUUGUUAAGAAGAACAAGGUGCUCUGGGGUUUUUAAAAAUGAUUCCUUUUCUCCUCCGCCUGCUGGAAGCACCAGGAGAUUUUUCGCAUGUUCACUGUGAACCCAGUAGAGCCCUAAGAUGUAAAUUCAUAAAAGUAUUGGGGCCAUCAGAUGACUAAGUCCUCUUGGAGUAUUUGCUCUUCACUGAGCUUCAUCAAUUGCAUUUCAGUCUUCCAACUCUGACAGUGGUUCCCAAGGAGGUUUUGGCUUGUGGGUCUCUGCUCAGGGAGGUCCUGACCCAGACCUUCUGAGUGGUUCCUGUGCCACUGUCUCUGAAAACUCCUCUCUUAGAGAAAGCUUCCCCUCUCAUCAGCCCUGUCCGAGUGCUGACUAAUAAAUCAUGCCAUGUGCUACUGCCUCCUGUGGGCCUGUCUCUUCCUGGGUGAAUUCCAAAAUCUUCAAGAUUACCAAAGAGCUGUGGCAUGUGGGAUGCUGCCUCAGCGUGGCUUGAUGAGCAGUGCCAUGUCCGCGCCCAGGAUUCGAACCAACGAAACACUGGGCCGCCUGCAGCGGAGCGUGAGAACUUAACCACUCAGCCACGGGGCCAGCCCCAUAGAGUAUUUGAUUUUAAUAUUAAUCUAAGCAAGGAGGUUGCUCUAGCACUGAAAUGUCAAUAAAUGUUGGCAUGUCCGUGCAAAUGAUAUUCUACCUGUUCACACCUAUCAGCCCAAUUAUUUUUGUCUCAGAAAAGAAAAGUGAAGGGAGAAAUGUUUCAUAAUUAUUGUUGGAGUUUUCAAGGACGAUUAUAUGAUACACUUUUCUUCUAGUUCCUUCUUGGAACCAAUAGGGAGACAGAAACUGGAGUAAAGCGGAUGGAAAUAAAGUAUCAACUUUACUAUUGCUUAAUCUGGACUUAAAGACUAGAUUUUCCUACCUGUGAACAGAAGGGUUAAGAAACCAGUUUAGACAGUCUACACAAAGCAGACUUAGUCUUUCCCCAAACGCAUCCAUUGGUGAAGGGUAGCAGAGAAGAGCCUAGAGUCUUCUUCUCGUAAACGUAUUCACAUGUAAACAUUAGUCAGUGGCUGAAGGUUGUCUCCAAUAGUUAAAAGCAAGAGAUUUUAUAUCAAAGAGAAAAAUGUUCAAAUCACAGCUUCAUCGCCUUUGACCUAUACAAACUUGAGAAGAUUGAUGACCCUUUCUAUGCUUCUGUUUCUUCUUUAACUAGUAUGGGGAAACAGCAAAACCUGUUCCAGAAAGUGUUGAAAGCGAUUGGUAAGGCUUCCAGAAGUGAUGUCUCCAGGCAACCUUCUUGUCAAAAGAAUUUUCGUGUGCCUACGUUGAUCUAUUUUAGUCAAGAAAGCAUAUCAUUUGUCUUCGAUUUUGUUGGCAUUUAAUGGAUGAAAAAUAUUUCAGGACUGUUUUAAUUUUAUAGUCCUUGAUGAUUAGUGUCUUGAGUAUUGAUUUAUGCUGUAUCAGGCACUUACAUUUAUUCUUUGAUAAGUUGCUAAUUAUUCUCCAUUGCUCAUUUUUGUAUUUAGUUGUCUCAUUUUUUCCUAAUAAAAUAACAAGUAUAUGUAUAUGUAUGCAUAUACUAACCCAAUUACCACGAAUUAUGUUACAAACUCUUUCUUCCAGUCUAAUUCUUGUCUUUAACCUUUCAUAUAUUAUUAUUAUUAUUAUUAUUACUUUCCUUCUGAGUAUCCUCCAAUUAUAUAAGUGAUACAUGCACAAGGAUGGGGGGUGGUUUACAGGGGAACACUCAAACAGCACAGAAUAACAUUAAAUGAAAAUUAAAAAAAGAACAAAUCCUCCUCAUCCUAUUCUAUUCCCACUUACUAGAGUUAGGCAUCUUCACAUGACUCAGUUUUUAGUUAUUCAAUGGUUACCAAGAUAAUUCUAAACAAUUAAAUCUACAUUCAUUUCUUGAAUUACUGCCAUUGCAAGGUUUCCACUGAUAAAUUUCCAUAGUUAUAAUACUGUCAAUUUCAUGUAUAUAGCUUACUCUGGCUUGAAACAUG